rnacentral:rRNA from 1 species
UACGUAGGUGGCAAGCGUUGUCCGGAUUUACUGGGCGUAAAGAGCGCGCAGGCGGCCUGAUAAGUCGAACGUGAAAGCCCCCCGGCUCAACUGGGGAGGGUCGUUCGAUACUGUCAGGCUUGAAGGCAGGAGAGGGAAGCGGAAUUCCCGGUGUAGCAGUGAAAUGCGUAGAGAUCGUAAGGAAGACCAGUGGCGAAGGCGAGUUUCUGGACAGUUACUGACGCUGAGGCAGCGAAGGCCAGGGGAGCAAACGGG